ACCAGCGUGUCUGCAGCAUUCUGCAUCUGUCUUUCGACUGAAGAACAUUGGAUAUUUUGUGGGAAAAAUUAAAAAAAAUUUCAGUUUAAAGCUUAGAAAAUGGGGCCCAAGAAGAAGCGAGCAAAAGUGAAGUAACCCAGCCUGAAACAGCAGAGGGGGAGGAAGAGGAAGAGUUUGAUGAUGAUGGUAGCAGCACCGGCAAGCCCUGCACGGACAGGGAGAAGUGUGCCUUCAAGCCGGCAGAAGGCACAGCACCCCACCAGAGGGAUUUUCACAGCUAACGAUGCCCAGAAGUGAGGACAUUGCAAUCCCAUCAUCAUUGUCAGGCCAUUGUGUCAUGCUCAGUGAUAAGGACAAGGACAUCCGACACCCCAUCCCACCACUCAGCAGGAGUAGGAGCAGGACAGCAGCUCGGAGUCAAAGUGUGUUUCAGUGCUCAAACUGUUGGGCUAUUUAGUUGGGAUUUUUUACAAUGUAAUAAAAUGUGUUAUUCCCUUA